AGGGUAUGCACCUUGAGAUGCGUAGCUUGUCUUGAUUAUCCAAGUGGGCCCAAUUGUUGGACGAGGUCAUAGAGAGGUCAUAGCCGGCAAGCUGACCCACUAGCUGGACCCAGGGCAAUCAGAACCUCCUCACCCUUCUCCUGUCCUUGGGUUGUACGUGUGGCCCACCAUUCCCACACUAGGAGCUGUUUCAAGAACAUAGCCUUGAGAGAGUAAGAUGUUGGGACCAUCUGGACUGAAUGCAUGACUGACCCCGUUAAGGCCUCUAUAAAACUUAAGAUCCUGGGGGGUAAGGGCAGAGAUCUACUCAUCUUGCAGCCACCCAAGACAAACUUCGUUUGUAAGUUCCCUGGUUUAUUAAAACUGCCACCUCCCAAUCUGGAUCCGCCUCUCCCCUUGGUUUCUCCUGGUCCUCCAUGUUAGGGGGCCAGCUAGUUUCAGAUUUCACCCAGAAAGCUCCGGAGUUUUCGAACCAACGCCAAUCUAAUCAUAGGGGUUCUUAAAAGUGGAGAACAUUUUCCAGCUACAGUCAAUCAGAGAUUCAACAAGAGAAGGACCUAACCCACUGUUGCUGGCUUUGAAGAUGGAGGAAGGAGACCAUAAACCAAAGAAUGUGAAUGUCUCAAGAAGCUGCUUCUGGAGGAAACAGAUUCUCCGCCAGAGCCUCCAGAAGGAUCACAGCUCUGCAGACGCCUUGAUUUUGCCCAGUGAGACCCAUGCUGGACUUCCAACCUGCAGAACUCAAAGGAAUAUUAGCCCUGAGCUAACAUCCAUGCCCAUCUUCCUCUACUUUAUAUGUGGGACACCUGCCACAGCAUGGCCUGCCAAGCGGUACCAUGUCGGCACUCAGGAUCCAAACCGGCGAACCCCAGGCCGCUGAGAAGCAGAACAUGCAAACAACCGCUGCGCCACCCGGCUGGCCCCAAGAAUCUAUUUUUAAAAGUUUCCACAUUUAGCAAAUCUCAGACAAAUGCAUAGCUCACCAGUACCCAUUAUUACUUUACUUUUACCUCAAUUAAAAUGCAAUUUGGAACUAGACUUGUCCAGUGAAAUGUUUGAAAGUUGAAUUUGCUUUAAAUUGUAAUAUGAAUCCAAGUAUUAAUGUAAUAUUCACACUUGCAAAAAAUCUAGUUGAAAGAUAGUAAAGCUGAUAUUACUACAAAAAUUCUGCGUUAAAACACAACUGAAUUAGCAUCUCUAUAGCCACAAGAAAAAAACACCAACGUGGGCUACCGCAGAGCAGCCCUCCUGCAGACCAGCACAGAAGGCUCCAUUUCCACUGUAACCAUACCUUUCUGCAGGACCAUCACACAGUUCAGGCCCUUCUUUGUCUCCUGCAAGGUAGCUCCUGCUCUGCUGGCAAGAAUUGGGAGAACUUUCUGCUUCAUGAUGCUAAGAAUAAGAAUGUAAAACAAAAGAAUGAAAACCAUCUCAAGUUUCGAUACACAUCAAUUCACAUCAAAGUAUAAAGACUUGGCUGCCAAACAAAACUAAAUCUCCAAAAAAGAAACUUGAACAUAAUUGACCUUUUCUUCCCACUUUAAUUUGUUUGGGAUUCUGAACUGGCUGGAAGUAGGAUGCUUCUGCUUGAGCUCUAGUUAUUCUGUAUUCGGUCCUAACGCCAGCCCACCAUCAAUUUGACUCCAUCCUCCGACCAGGAUUAUUCUUUGAAAUGAACACUGCCUUUUUUUCUUUCUACAAAGGAAAAAACACUAAAAGACCUGCAUUGUAACUGCUAUUUCAUAGUUUUCAUUUUUUGUAAAUUCUGUUUGCUUGGUCUUACAUACAUUUUUUUCCCUAAAUUUCCCUUUUGUCUUGAUGCUCUAACUUUGGAGAAUUUUCUGUUUUGUUUUUACAUUUCAUAUGUUUUACUUUUUGUGACAUUGUCUACUGACAUGUAUUUAGUCUCAUAGGUGGUAGUUUUUUAAAGUUUUUUUUUUUGUAUUUUGUUUAUAACUGAUUUAGUAUUCCUCUACUGAGUUCUGAGGCUGUCUGAGUUUUUCCAAGCAUAUUCUUGGAGAUCCUUAAUUAUUCAAUAAUCAGAUCCUAAAAAAAAUAUUUUGGGUGUAUGUUGGAUCAUCUAGAUGCCUAAAACCAAAUAUCACUGUAUUUGAGUGGCUACAUUUGUGUUUAUUAUAUGAUUGAAGUGGCAAUGUUACUACUUUGUCAAAAGCUAAUGGGGGGAAAUAAAAGAGCGGACACAAUGACACAAUUCACACCAAGAAAAUAGGAAAUGAUAUCACUACUCUACACAUAAAAACCUCAGUAUAGUUUGAAAUUGAAGAUUUUAUGACUAUUUGGAAGAACCUAUGUCUAAGAAACUAUUAUUCACAUCCUGAAAAGCAAUUUCAGCAAAACAACGUUAUUUGUCAAACAAAAUUGAUAUUGUUGAUUUGAGUUUUAUUGUUUUUAUAGUUUAUAUUUAAUUUGUAAAAUUGUUUGGCUUUAUCAUUUUGUAAGAGAUAUAAGCAUAACGACUUAUAUCUGGAUUUAUU
rnacentral:lncRNA from 1 species